rnacentral:rRNA from 1 species
GGGACUGCGGAGGGAUCAUUACUGAGUUACCGCUCUAUAACCCUUUGUGAACAUACCUACAACUGUUGCUUCGGCGGGUAGGCCGUCCCGUGAAAAGGACGCCUCCCGGCCCGGCCCGGACCCCUCGCGGGAACGGACCCGGCGCCCGCCGGAGGAUAACCAAACUCUGUUUUAACGACGUUUCUUCUGAGUGGCAUAAGCAAAAUAAUCAAAACUUUUAACAACGGAUCUCUUGGUUCUGGCAUCGAUGAAGAACGCAGCGAAAUGCGAUAAGUAAUGUGAAUUGCAGAAUUCAGUGAAUCAUCGAAUCUUUGAACGCACAUUGCGCCCGCCAGCAUUCUGGCGGGCAUGCCUGUUCGAGCGUCAUUUCAACCCUCAAGCUCUGCUUGGUGUUGGGGCUCUACGGUUGACGUAGGCCCCCAAAGGUAGUGGCGGACCCUCCCGGAGCCUCCUUUGCGUAGUAACAUUUCGUCUCGCAUUGGGAUUCGGAGGGACUCUUGCCGUAAAACCCCCCAAUUUUUCAAGGUUGACCUCGGAUCAGGUAGGAAUACCCGCUGAACUUAAGCAUAUCAU